AGUCACACGUUUCGUUUUCAUUUUAAAAAAUGUUUUAUUACGAAACUCAAGAAGAUUGUUAAAAGCACUACGCAGAAAUUAUGAAAUGUAUUUACCUUCAGCCAUAUGCAGAAUUUGUAAUGAGCUUUUUUUUUUCUUUCAACGUACAUACUGCAGUCGCGUUCGACGUAUAUUUUCCAAGUUCAUUUAAUGCCGCAACGACCUGAUGAAUCAUUGUUAACAAAGUUGACAGGGUCGGUAGAAGAUGUAACUGACUUCUAUCCUAGAUUCGGAUGUUGGGUAGUACCAUUCUUUCAAACUUUCUAAUGCGUAAGGCAAAGGGUUUUUAUAAGAACUGAUUAAGAGAGAUUACCUGAUGUUGAGGUGUACCUCCUUUCCAUGAAUGACUGCGAAAAUUGAAUGUACUGUAGGGUGUAUUUUUAUAAGAUAGUUUCCUUUGUUGAUCAGGUGAUCCAUUGUCAAAACAGGUAUCCACAAUACAUUUGGGUUGAGAUGUAUCUAAAAAAUGUACCACAGAAUCAAUUUUUUUAAUUAUCAAACGAAGAAAGAAUGUCCUUUUUGUUUGGUUAUUAUUUUUUAAAAAACAAGGUAGUUGUAUAUAUAAGAAUGUUUCAAUACAACAAACAACAAAGCUAAGAAAAUAUUGUUUUUUUAAUAAAUGAUAAAAAAAAAUGCUUUUAAAUGUGGAAUGGAAAAAAAGCCAU